rnacentral:lncRNA from 1 species
CCGUUGCUCAGAGUCCAGGCCGGUUAGGACCAGAGCCUACCCCGGGUGGCAUGGUGAUGAUCCAGAUUCAGGAGACAUGUCUGAGAAAGGAUCGUUCAGACUUUUUGACCUAUUUUACAUGAGGAAUAAAGGAUAGAGAAUCUUCUUCCCUUCUGGUCUGACUAGGAAAGCCAGAGGGAGAUGGUGAAGGAGACACAGAGAGAGUAAAAGAACAGACCAUGCCCAGCCUCUCCACUGCAGGAGCUUGGAAUCAGUUCUGGAGGCAGAAGGCUAAGAUCAAGGCACCAGCAAGUUUGGUGUCUCGUGAGGGCUGCUGUCUGCUUCCAAGAUGGCGCCUUGUUGUUGCAUCCUUGGGAGGGGAUGGGGAGAAAAAAACAAAAAGAGGCCUAGGCUGGUUGCCCCUAGCCCUUUUAUAAGGCACUAAUCCAUUCAUGAUGAGGGGAAAGCCCUCAUGACUUAAUCAUCUCGCAAAAGUAACACAUUUUAAUACCAUUACAAUGGGGAUUAGGUUUCUACAUGAAUUCUGGAGGGGACAUAUUCAAACCAUAGCACUCCACUUUCUACUUUCCCUUUUCCUAUUCUCUGUCUCCCUCUCUCCCCUGCCCCAUCUCGGUCACUGGGGUUUGUAUGCAUGUAUACAUAUAUGCAAAAUAUCUAAGUAUUUUGACCGGUGUUAAACACUGACCAUGGAUUCUCCUGGAACCUUUAUUCAACUCAGUUUAUUCUUUUGUAAAUCACAGUCACCAUUCAUUCCAUAAAUUGCCAGUGUACAAUUCAAUGAAUGUGGACAAUGUGAACACACAUAUAACACAACUCACUCAAGAUUUAGAGAGUCCCUUGUGCUCCUUUGUAGGCAAUCUCCAACCCCAUGGCAAUUACUGUUCUGAUUUUUAACACCUAGAUUUGUUCUGCCUUUUUCUGGACUUUAUAUAAAUGGAAUAAUAAACUAUAUGGGGAUUUUUGCUCAACAUUAAUGUUUUUUAAGAUUUAUCCAGUUGUUGCUUAUAUCAAUAAUUCAUUCUUUUUGUUAUUGCUAAAUAGCAACCUAUUGUAUGACUAUUCCACAGUUGUUUUUUGUUUUUAAUCUAUUCUCCUGUUGAUAGACAUUCAGUUUUUUCCCUGUUUUGGCUACUAUGAAUAAGGCUGCUAUGAACCUUCUUGUUGGCAUAUGAUUUUAUUUCUUUUGGGUAACUAUUUAGAAGAGGAAUUUCUAGGUAACAGGAUAGACACAUGUUUAUAAGAAACUGCCAGUUUUCGAAAGUGGUUGUACCAUUAUUAUACUCCCGCCAGCAGUGUUUAAGUUCUAGCUGCUGCACAUUGUCACCAGCAUAUGGUGGCAGUAUUUUAGUUUGGGCCAUUCCAGUGUU